rnacentral:misc_RNA from 1 species
GAUGAAGAACGCAGCGAAAUGCGAUAAGUAAUGUGAAUUGCAGAAUUCAGUGAAUCAUCGAAUCUUUGAACGCACCUUGCGCCCUUUGGCCAUUCCGAAGGGCAUGCCUGUUUGAGUAUCAUGAACACCUCAACUCUUCAUGGUUUUCCAUGAUGAGCUUGGACUUUGGGGGUCUUGCUGGCCUGUGGGUCGGCUCCUCUCAAAUGAAUCAGCUUGCCGGUUUUUGGUGGGCAUCACAGGUGUGAUAACUAUCUACGCUUGUGGUUUUCCACCAGGGUAACCUUCAGCAGUGGAGGUUCACUGGAGCUUACAAAUGUCUCUCCUCUGUGAGGGCAGCCCUUUGAAUGUUUGAUCUCAAAUCAGGUAGGACUACCCGCUGAACUUAAGCAUAUCAAUAAGCGGAGGA